CCCCCCCAAUGGUUGUGACUGUCAGCUGCAUGGAGUCUCAUCCCAGGGUUUUUUUAGAUUGAUGGAUUUACAGUGGUCAACUGUCUCA
rnacentral:lncRNA from 1 species